UGGGGAAUCUUGCGCAAUGGGCGAAAGCCUGACGCAGCAAUGCCGCGUGAGGGAAGAAGGUCUUAGGAUUGUAAACCUCUUUCAGCAGGGACGAAAACAGACGGUACCUGCAGAAGAAGCCCCGGCUAACUACGUGCCAGCAGCCGCGGUAAUACGUAGGGGGCAAGCGUUGUCCGGAAUCAUUGGGCGUAAAGAGCGUGUAGGUGGACUGGAAGGUCUGGUGUGAAAGCCCGGGGCUCAACCCCGGAGGGUCACUGGAAACCAACAGUCUUGAGUCCGGAAGAGGAGAGUGGAAUUCCUAGUGUAGCGGUGGAAUGCGCAGAUAUUAGGAGGAACACCAAUGGCGAAGGCAGCUCUCUGGUACGUGACUGACACUGAGACGCGAAAGCGUGGGGAGCGAACAGG
rnacentral:rRNA from 1 species